UACGGAAGGCAGCAGUGGGGAAUAUUGCACAAUGGGCGAAAGCCUGAUGCAGCUAUGCCGCGUGUAUGAAGAAGGCCUUAGGGUUGUAAAGUACUUUCAUCGGGGAGGAAAAACAAAACUAAUAAUUUUAUUUCUUGACGUUACCCGAAAAAGAAGCACCGGCUAACUCCGUGCCAGCAGCCGCGGUAAUACGGAGGGUGCUAGCGUUAAUCAGAAUUACUGGGCGUAAAGAGCACGUAGGUGGUUUUUUAAGUCAGAUGUGAAAUCCCUGGGCUUAACCUAGGAACUGCAUUUUGAAACUGAAAUACUAGAGUAUCGUAGAGGGAGGUAGAAUUCUAGGUGUAGCGGUGAAAUGCGUAGAUAUCUGGAGGAAUACCUGUGGCGAAAGCGGCCUCCUAAACGAAUACUGACACUGAGGUGCGAAAGCGUGGGGAGCAAACGAGGGAUUAGGAUACC
rnacentral:rRNA from 1 species